AAUGAACGCUGGCGGCAUGCUUUACACAUGCAAGUCGAACGGCCGCGCGGGCUUCGGCCUGGUGGCGAGUGGCGAACGGGUGAGUAAUGCAUCGGAACGUGCCCAGCAGUGGGGGAUAGCCCGGCGAAAGCAGGAUUAAUACCGCAUACGACCUGAGGGUGAAAGCGGGGGACCGAAAGGCCUAGCGCUAUUGGCGCGGCCGAUGUCGGAUUAGCUAGUUGGUGGGGUAAAGGCUUACCAAGGCGACGAUCCGUAGCUGGUCUGAGAGGACGACCAGCCACACUGGGACUGAGACACGGCCCAGACUCCUACGGGAGGCAGCAGUGGGGAAUUUUGGGCAAUGGGGGCAACCCUGAUCCAGCCAUGCCGCGUGCGGGAAGAAGGCCUUCGGGUUGUAAACCGCUUUUGUUCGGGAAGAAAUCCUCUGGGCUAAUACCCCGGGGGGAUGACGGUACCGGAAGAAUAAGCACCGGCUAACUACGUG
rnacentral:rRNA from 1 species